rnacentral:rRNA from 1 species
CAGUCGACGCACGAAGUUGAGAGCUUGCUCUUUAACUAGUGAGUGGCGGACGGGUGAGUAACACGUGGGUAACCUGCCCAUUAGAGGGGGAUAACAUUCGGAAACGGAUGCUAAUACCGCAUAGUUUCAGGAAUCGCAUGAUUCUUGAAGGAAAGGUGGCUUCGGCUACCACUAAUGGAUGGACCCGCGGCGUAUUAGCUAGUUGGUGAGGUAAUGGCUCACCAAGGCAAUGAUACGUAGCCGACCUGAGAGGGUGAUCGGCCACACUGGGACUGAGACACGGCCCAGACUCCUACGGGAGGCAGCAGUAGGGAAUCUUCCGCAAUGGACGAAAGUCUGACGGAGCAACGCCGCGUGAGUGAAGAAGGUUUUCGGAUCGUAAAACUCUGUUGUUAAAGAAGAACAAGGAUGAGAGUAACUGCUCAUCCCCUGACGGUAUUUAACCAGAAAGCCACGGCUAACUACGUGCCAGCAGCCGCGGUAAUACGUAGGUGGCAAGCGUUGUCCGGAUUUAUUGGGCGUAAAGCGAGCGCAGGCGGUUCUUUAAGUCUGAUGUGAAAGCCCCCGGCUCAACCGGGGAGGGUCAUUGGAAACUGGAGAACUUGAGUGCAGAAGAGGAGAGUGGAAUUCCACGUGUAGCGGUGAAAUGCGUAGAUAUGUGGAGGAACACCAGUGGCGAAGGCGACUCUCUGGUCUGUAACUGACGCUGAGGCUCGAAAGC